UAGCGGCAGGCCUAAUACAUGCAAGUCGAACGGUAACAUUUCUAGCUUGCAGAAGAGAGAGUGGCGAACGGGUGCACGCGUAUGUAAUCUACCUUUAACAGAGGGAUAGCCCAGAGAAUUGGAUUAAUACCUCAUAAUAUUAUAAAACGGCAUCGUUUUACAAUUAAAACUCCGGUGGUUAAAGAUGAGCAUGCGUCCUAUUAGUUAGUUGGUAAGGUAACUGCUUACCAAGACUAUGAUAGGUAGGGGGCCUGAAAGGGUGAUCCCCCACACUGGUACUGAGACACGGACCAGACUCCUACGGGAGGCAGCAGUAAGGAAUAUUGCACAAUGGAGGAAACUCUGAUGCAGCCAUGCCGCGUGCAGGAAGACUGCCCUAUGGGUUGUAAACUGCUUUUCUACAAGAAGAAACCCCAGUACGUGUACUGGCUUGACGGUAUUGUAGGAAU
rnacentral:rRNA from 1 species